AUAGCCAUUAAAGUUCAAGGUAGCGACCACCCUUGGCCAGUGAACUUCUGAGUGUCGGCAGUGUGCUAAGUUGCAUAGGCAGUAGGACUUUGACUAACACAGUAGAGCUUGCCUCUGUGACUGGGGUUUGAUAGUGGUCAUUGUCACAUCC
rnacentral:snoRNA from 1 species